GCGGCGUAUAGCGCGGCCCCUUGCGCUUCGAUUCCGGAACGCGGACCUUCGGCUCGGACAGCUUCAGGCGAUGGUUCGGAUCCUUCUCGCCGCG
rnacentral:tRNA from 1 species